rnacentral:Y_RNA from 1 species
GGCUGGUCCGAGUGCAGUGUGUUUGCAACUAAUUGAUCACAACAAGUUAUAGAAUUUUUUGCUCCUUCUCCAUUCACACUGCUUCACUUGACUAGCCACAC